rnacentral:tRNA from 1 species
GCGGCCGUAGUCUAGCCUGGCUAGGACAUCGGCCUGCCACGCCGAUGACCCGGGUUCAAAUCCCGGCGGCCGCACCA